UUGUGCUGCAAGCCUACCGAAGUCUUGUAAAAAAAGUUGGUGCCAAAAUACAGAUUUUUUCCUUCUUUCUGUGGGCCCAACUGCUGGAACAGCGUCUGGAACGCUUCUACGGGAGUAAUUUCAUAUCAUCUACUAUUCUGUUACCUUAUACGCUUCGCUAUGUCGCGAACAUAUAUCAGACCGUGCGUAUACUCUACCUGUAGGUCUUUCCAAGGCCGAC